rnacentral:rRNA from 1 species
UACGUAGGGUGCGAGCGUUGUCCGGAUUUAUUGGGCUUAAAGAGCUCGUAGGCGGCUCGUCGCGUCGGCCGUGAAAACCCGCGGCUUAACUGCGGGCUUGCGGUUGAUACGGGCGGGCUAGAGUUCGGUAGGGGAGACUGGAAUUCCUGGUGUAGCGGUGAAAUGCGCAGAUAUCAGGAGGAACACCAAUGGCGAAGGCAGCUCGCUGGAAAGGUACUGACGCUGAGGCGCGAAAGCGUGGGGAGCAAACAGG